GAGCGAGUCAGCCUGGUAUUGAACCAUUUGGCAAACCCCUACUGAAAGAAGCAAUUGUUAAUUCUGUCUGUUUGAAUAUCUGUGGGAACAUUCAAAACUCUCAUCACCACUACAUGACUUACAUAGAGCUCUGCUGGGAUGCCAGCCCACUAGCAUCCUCAUGGACUCUUCUGGCUAGGGUGCUACCCCUUGUGGCUCACAGUACAUUGGCAGCGCUUCCUGUCCCCAGUCGGGCUCUCCUUCUUCUUACUUUGCCAUGCUGAUUUGCAGGUUUCACUUCCUCUGUUAGGUCCUGUCUUGUGUCAUAUGUGUACCAGCUUUGAGCCUGGCAUUAUAACUAACAUGGCAUGGUGAAAACCUUACAAAACCAUUAUUUGAAAUUUUUUUCAUGUAUUUCAGAAGCUGAGAAAGCAUCGUGUUCUCCUUCACCCAACAGGCAAUAUAUCAAUUGAGCACUCAUGGUCUAUUUGUUAUGGCUGAGAUCGUUCACUCUGCUCAUCCAGAAACCUCUGAAAAGGCUGCACAGACAUUUGGGAACAAAAUAAAAGCAGUUGCCACAACAGAACAAAACCAUCUUUGUAGGUAAAGACACACACAUAAACACCUACACAGAGAGGUGCGCAGGAGCAAGUUCAUGAAUCCUGGCAACCUAGACAAAGCA